ACAACUUUAUUGCUAUAGUAGCGGCGAGCGAAGCGGGAAGAGCUCAAAUUUAUAAUCUGGCACCUUCGGUGUCCGAGUUGUAAUCUCUAGAAGUGUUUUCCGCGUUGGACCGCACACAAGUCUGUUGGAAUACAGCGGCAUAGUGGUGAAACCCCCGUAUAUGGUGCGGACGCCCAGCGCUUUGUGAUACACUUUCAAUGAGUCGAGUUGUUUGGGAAUGCAGCUCAAAUUGGGUGGUAAAUUCCAUCUAAAGCUAAAUAUUGGCGAGAGACCGAUAGCGAACAAGUACCGUGAGGGAAAGAUGAAAAGCACUUUGGAAAGAGAGUUAACAGUACGUGAAAUUGUUGGAAGGGAAACGCUUGAAGUCAGACUUGCUUGCCGGAGCUUGCUUCGGUUUGCAGGCCAGCAUCAGUUUUCCGGGGUGGAUAAUGACGGUUUGAAGGUAGCAGUCUCGGCUGUGUUAUAGCUUUCCGUUGGAUACAUCCUGGGGGACUGAGGAACGCAGCGUGCUUUUUGCGAAAGACUCGUCUUUUUCACGCUUAGGAUGCUGGUGGAAUGGCUUUAAACGACCCGUCUUGAACCCACGGACCCA
rnacentral:rRNA from 1 species